rnacentral:lncRNA from 1 species
GUACCAAACCUCAGCUUCUCCAGGCCCGCCUGCUUCAUAAUGCCAAUGUACCUGUAGGCUGUGCUGCCAGGCUGUGCCUGGCUGCUGCAUGGACAUGAACUUCAGGAUCUGAGCAUGACCUAACCUCCUCCUGGCUGCUCUUGAACACUACAGUGCAUGUACCUGGGUACUGUCCUCUCCUAGUUCUUCCCUAGAACCCUCUCAGCUGACUCCUGCAAAGUGAACUGCAUGAAGGCCUCACCAGUAAUCUUGCCCUCCGGCCCCACAGUCGUGUAAUCCUGUUUGGCAUGAUUUCCAACCCUGAGAAAAUCUGCUCCACGAACAGAAGGUUUCAAAGGUGCUGUUCGACAAGUGACGGCUGGCUCCAUCACGGUUGGCGCCCGAACAGGGACCUGAAUACGGGGGACCAUAGUGAAGGACACCGCGGAUUGUGAGCCGGCUGGCUCCAUCACGGUUGGCGCCCGAACAGGGACCUGAAUACGGGGGACCAUAGUGAAGGACACCGCGGAUUGUGAGCUCGGAUAAGUAAAUUAAGGGCGGUGAAUACACUCGGGAGUAACAAGAUGGGUAUUGGUAAUAGCGGAAUGCUUUUUGAACAUAUGCUUAAAAAUAUGCUUCGCGCUCGUGGAGCAAAGGACGCUGAAGGUGCCAGGUGGCUACCUGAAAGAUUGGUCCAUUUUGCGGAAAAUUCUCCUGCCCCUUAGGAUGAUCCUGACAACUGUCCUGCUGAUAAAUCUAAUGAUGACGCUUAAUGAGAAGGUGUAUUGGACUUAUGUACCUGAUCCACCUGUUGUACAUCCAACGAGCUGAAAAAAUGGACAAGUAAUGGUAUGGGUGAACAAUACCAGGCUGUUGGAUGAGCCAGCGGCACCUGACAAGAACGAGGUCUGAUUGUUCAACUAUACGGGAUCAGAAACC